ACAUCCAGCGAACUUUCCAGAGAUGGAUUGGUGCCUUCGGGAACGCUGAGACAGGUGCUGCAUGGCUGUCGUCAGCUCGUGUUGUGAAAUGUUGGGUUAAGUCCCGCAACGAGCGCAACCCUUAUCCUUUGUUGCCAGCGAUUCGGUCGGGAACUCAAAGGAGACUGCCGGUGAUAAACCGGAGGAAGGUGGGGAUGACGUCAAGUCAUCAUGGCCCUUACGAGUAGGGCUACACACGUGCUACAAUGGCGCAUACAAAGAGAAGCGACCUCGCGAGAGCAAGCGGACCUCAUGAAGUGCGUCGUAGUCCGGAUCGGAGUCUGCAACUCGACUCCGUGAAGUCGGAAUCGCUAGUAAUCGUGGAUCAGAAUGCCACGGUGAAUACGUUCCCGGGCCUUGUACACACCGCCCGUCACACCAUGGGAGUGGGUUGCAAAAGAAGUAGGUAGCUUAACCUUCGGGAGGGCGCUUACCACUUUGUGAUUCAUGACUGGGGUGAAGUCGUAACAAGGUAGGCGUAGCGAG
rnacentral:rRNA from 1 species